rnacentral:rRNA from 1 species
GACGAACGCUGGCGGCGUGCUUAACACAUGCAAGUCGAACGGAAAGGCCCUGCUUUUGUGGGGUGCUCGAGUGGCGAACGGGUGAGUAACACGUGAGUAACCUGCCCUUGACUUUGGGAUAACUUCAGGAAACUGGGGCUAAUACCGGAUAGGGGCUCCUGCUGCAUGGUGGGGGUUGGAAAGUUUCGGCGGUUGGGGAUGGACUCGCGGCUUAUCAGCUUGUUGGUGGGGUAGUGGCUUACCAAGGCUUUGACGGGUAGCCGGCCUGAGAGGGUGACCGGCCACAUUGGGACUGAGAUACGGCCCAGACUCCUACGGGAGGCAGCAGUGGGGAAUAUUGCACAAUGGGCGGAAGCCUGAUGCAGCAACGCCGCGUGCGGGAUGACGGCCUUCGGGUUGUAAACCGCUUUCGCCUGUGACGAAGCGUGAGUGACGGUAACGGGUAAAGAAGCACCGGCUAACUAUGUG